CUUGCGCUGUUAGAAGGAAGAGAAUCCUGAACAGAAUUUUGGCCCAAAGAAUGGCUAUGCAUUUGUAAUUUAUCUUCCAUUUGAGACUCCAAGAUAACAAUUUGCUCCCCCUAUAUGUAUAUGGUGUUUCACUUUCCUUGAACUUUCCACAGUAAAAUAUUCAAUCAGCCUCUGAUAUUUAUGAAAACAUAACAGCUAUUUUCUUCGUUUACGCCAAAUUACGUAUUGAUUUACGGUAGUGGACGAAAUGUUCGACAGGAAGGUGUACUUUGCGGUAACACAUUUUUCAAGACAAGUUUGAAUUUCAACUUCUAUAUUCCAGCAUACUAAGAGGGUAACAUUUUAUCCAGCAGUCAUUCACGUGAUGUAUUACCAUUGUUCACGAAUAAAAUUGUCACAAUGAUAAUAUGAGAUCGCAAGGAUUUGAACUACUUGUUAAAAGGGAAGCAGCACCACCAAUCGCAACAAUGGGUUUGAACUGAAUAAUGGGGUUGACUGUCACUUUUUCGAGUAUAACGUGCCCACAGAAAUUAUGGAGCGAAUUCAGUGGCAUCACGUCUCGAACCCGCAUCAUCCGAUCAGCAACUGGACACCUAAAACUAGGCUUACUCAGCCAUCUCAGAACCUUCAAUCAAUGUGACAGGGAACCUCCAUGAUGGAUGGCACCUAUUGUGGGGAGAUGUCGUCUAAGAGAAAAAUGAAGAUGAUAACGUCCACUAAGUGAAGAUAAAAAAAGAAACAAAAGCAACGGAACAUUUAUUCUGCCAAAUGAUAAUCAACAACGAGA